rnacentral:lncRNA from 1 species
AACACUGGUCUCCCAAGUGGUUUUCUGCCUGGACCCUUCUUGAGUCCACUCUCCACACUGCAGUUGCUGGGGGGCGGGGGGCAGGUUGUCUUUAUAAAACCUACUCUUAUCAUAGUAUUCCUCUAUCUGAAACUCUUCCACAUUCCCUGAAAGCAAAGUCCAAACUCUCAUGUAAUGAUGAGGCAACAUGGUUCUAGGAUCCAAACUGUAUAUGUUUAUACUUUGAUGCCGUUAACUCUCAACUACGUGGCCUUGGAUAGCCAGAUGUGUCUCAACUUUCUUAUCUGUAAAUCUGGGAUAAUACCUCAGGUUUAUGAGAAUUAAAUUUUAUUAUACACACACAAGAUAGAUGGAUGGAUGGAUGGAUGGAUGGGUAGAGAGAUAGAUCAAUCUGAUACACACACAGUAAGACCUGACUGCUCCAUAAAUUGACCCAUCUCUUCCUACCCCAUCUUAUCAUUGCUACCCUUUAGAAACCACUUGCAAUCCCCUGUAGGUACCAAACAGUGGUCCUUAUCUUCUAACAUGCUUUUCUCUUUACCUGAAAUCUCUUUGUUCUUCUGGAUUGUCAUCCCUUUUCACCUUUCAAGACCCAGCUUUGCAUCUCCUCCUCCUCUUUCCCUGAUUGGACCCUCCCUGCUAGAUGAAAUUGUCCUCUCUCUCUCUUGUAUCAAUCACUGUUUUUUCACCUAUCUUUACUAAACUACUUAUAGCACAGUAUUGACAUAAUUUGAUUAUAUUCUGCCUUCUCUAUCAGACUGAUCUCUUUGAAGAUGGAGAACUUUUUGUUUGUUCAUUUUAGAAUUCCCAGUGCUCAGCUUAGUUCUUCGUGCAUGAUGGACACACAGGAAAGCGUUUAUGAAAUGAGCAGAAGAAUGAACAGGAAUAUUUUGACAUCUCUAGCCAUACAAGUGACUUUCCACCCAUCCCGACAGCUACCUAUAAUCCUUAACAAAUGAUCAUCUUGGUUUAUGGAGAGGAACCACCAUCCCCUUUAUAACUGCACUUCCAAGACUUUGGGAAUUAGCCCCAUGAGUAUAAAAUGCGAAUGACUAGGAGCCACAUCCACUACCAGUCACCUGAGCAUCUGAAGAAUAGUAAUCAAGACUGGACCCACACAGUAAACCUGACCUCAAAGCAGCUUACCAGAGGUUUGCAAUCAUUAGGGUAACUGGUUUUUGUUUGUUUGUUUAUUUGUUUGUUUGUUUGUCUUUUUAGGGCCACAUCCACUGUUCAUGGAGGGUCCCAGGCCGGGGUCGAAUUGGAGCUAUAGCCACUGGCCUACACCACAGNCACCGGCCUACACCACAGCAAUGGGAGAUCUGAGCCACAUCUGCAGUCUACACCACAGUUCACUGCAACGCUGGAUCAUUAACCCACAGAGCAAGGCCAGGGAUCAAACCCAUGUUGUCAUGGGUACUAGUCGAAUUCGUUAACUGCUGAGUCAUGAUGGGAACUCUGGGUAACUGGUUCUUAGGCACCCCUCUUCUGCGCUGCAAAGGAGAUUAAAUACAGAGGGAGAUUCUUGCAACUCUGGGAAGCACUGCUUUAAUAACAAUUCAAGAACCAGCAACGUUAAAAAGAUUAUCUUCUUCCAAAAGAUACCAUUUCCUAAAGUAAUCAGUAGGAUUUUGUUUUUCUUCUUUUAUGUGUUUGGAAAAAUAAAGAAGUCAUGUCUCCCAUAAGCGGCUAUAACUUUUUUAAUGAGGUAAACUAAAAAUACAUACAAUGCCACAUAACGCACUUACAUCUUAGGUUGUAAUUAAUGCAAAUUAUGCAAGAUUCAUAUACAAUGUGAUUAGACUCCUCUAGCACAUAAUUUAUGGUUGAAUUCACAAAGAAGCUGAUUAAAUGAGAAAAUUGAUUUCCAUAGCUCUACUUUUUUGUGGUUGUUAUGUUUUCAGUAAGAACAUGUCUGAAGACUUAAAGAAAUUAGAUUACAGAGUUGGAGUUGCAGUUCAAAGUACCCGUGCCACUCUUUGACCUUCUUACAGAUGAGCUAACAUGCAGAGAACUCCAUGUUACUUUCUGAUGAUAUACUGUGGGGCAGGUUUCAGCACAGGAACAUGAAGCUCAUGCAGCUCCAAAAUAUGAACACAUGGGUGAUUCACUGACUCACCAGAGGAGCUUUUUUUUUCCCUGGCUUAUUUAUUGGUUCAGGCCAUUUUCUUGAGUCUUAUUCAAAAGCAUUUCAGCAGAUUUUUUUUUUCAGAUAUGAAUACAGAAAGUACAUAUGUGGCUAAAUCUUUUCCUUGCUUGCAGCUUAAGUGGUGGAACUGAAUGUAAACUUCAGAAUAAAAAAAAUAAUUGGAACACUUUCUCACUUACGAAAGAGAACACAUUCUAUGAGUUCCCACUGUGGCAUGAUGGGUUAAAGAUCUGGCGUUGCUGCAGCUGUAGUGCAGGUCGCAACUGUAGCUCAGAUUCAACCCCUGGCCUGGGAGCUUCCAUGAGCCAUAGGUGCAGGGAAAAAAAAAACUCUGUAAACCAAUGAUAAAAAAAAAUAUUCACAGACAUAACUUUUGUCUUCUAGACAGUAAGAUUCUUGAUGGCCCAUGUUUGCAUCUUCUUGAAUUCUUUCUCUUCUCUCUUAACACCUUACCAUAUAAUCAGCUCCCAAAUUUUACCCUUUUUUUUUUAACUUCUACAACAUUCCCUUCCUUCUUUCUUCCCUCCCUCUCUCCUUCCAUCAUCCCACCCUCCUCCUUCAAUAUCUAUUAAGUACCUACUCUGGGCCAGGCCUUGAAUAGAGCGAUGCAUAGAACAGACAAAGUAUGGUCUCUAUUCACAAGAUGCUUAUUGUAGGUUCCUUUACAUUUUGUAUUUUCUUCAGAAGUGCAGUGAAAUGUUCACAUUGUACCAAGGGGAGCCUGGGACAUAGGCUGGUAAGAUUUAAGAGUAGAAAGAGAACUGAGUAGAAAUGGUGGCUGUGUGAUUUAAACUUUCUAACAUUUAUAGGAGUUUUAUGUCUUAAAAUUGACUUGAACAAGCUAAGUCAAGAGAAGAUGUGCCUGCUGGGAAUAUUGGCAGGAGGUGGGGGGGGUUAGUGUUGCCUUGAAAACUUAGCUCCAACCUAUACAAGCUGUGUGACUCCAUGCUUGUUGCUUAACUGUCCUGUUUCCUCAAUCAUAGAAAAACGCACUUGAGAAUACUGGAGAAUUUAAGAGAGUGCUUGUGGCAUCACAGUUCUGACCCUUUUUUCCCCCUUCUCUUCCCAAAAGUUGACAGCAUCCUUCCAAAGCAAGGAAACACCUAUUUAGGCUUCUUCUAUUAACAGUACCUGCCUGCACAGGCUCCUGAGCUCUCCACUCCAUACUGAGACCGGGAUUUGUUGAAUUAUAUGAUUCAUGGGAAUGGCAUUUCAAAAAAAGAAAAAAAAAAAAACCCUCAGAAACCUCUUUCUUGAAAUGUUCCCCACAUUCUGUUUGCUAAAUGUGGGUUAUCCUGGCAUUUGAUAGUCUGGUUCAAUUACAGAUUAAAGUCUUUACAUCUAAGAAAGUGACACUUUCUGGAGGUGGGAAGUGGGGGUGAGGGGGUGAGAUUGUGACCUCAAUGGUAUGUUUAUGUCCUGGGAACAGUCGCACUCUGGAGGAAGAGUAGUGCUUUGGGAGCCAGACAGACCAGAGUUUGAAUUCUCAUUUCUCCACUGCAAGCUGUAUAGGGUUGCAAGUGUUAUUUUGCUUUCUGGGUUAUCAGUAAGGCUGGGCUGGAAGGAUGUGAGAAUCCCAGAGAGUAUUUACUGGUUUUCUCCUUCUCCUUGGGGAUCCUUGGAUUCUGAGGCUGAGCUUCCUCUCUUUCCUCGGCGGGGCCUCUGGGUGGUAUAAUCUCCAUUCACAAAGCCUUCAUCUCCUCAGAUGUCCCACCAUACUGUUAUGUAAUUAAUAUCAGUAAUUAAUAAGAGUCAGUAUUUGCAUUUUUAGAAGCAAGACAAUCUUCCUGUAAACCAAACUGAGGGAGUUCCUGUUGUGGCUCAGGGGUAACCAACCCAACUGGUAUCCAUGAGAAUGAGGGUUCAAUCCCUGGCCUCGCUCAGUGGGUUAAGGAUCCAGCAUUGCUGUGAGCUGUGGAAUAGGUCACAGACACAGCUCAGAUUCCUCAUUGCUGUGGCUAUGGCAAAGGCUGACAGCUACAGCUCCAAUUCGACCCCUAGCCUGGGAACUUCCAUAUACCGCAGAUAUGGUCCUAAAAAGCAAAAAACAAAAAAAAACAAAACAAAACCAGACUGAGGCGAGUAUUAGAAUUUAGCACUGGUCAAUAAAAGAGCAAAGGACAUUGGCCAAUCCAACACCCUCCAGGCAUUCCCUAAAACCCACACCAGAGCAGUCUUCUGUCCUCCCCUUGUGAGGAUAUGGUUAAGAGCACAGACUCUGGGGCCAGACUGAGUUGAAAUCCUGGUUCUGUUACUUACUCACUGUGUGACCUUGAACUAGCCAGUUGGUUUCUCUGUGCCAUAAUUUUAUCAUGGAUAGAAUUGAAAUACUAGCAGUGAGAGCUGCAUGCUAGAGCUGCGGUGAAGAUCAAAUGAAAUGAGUACAUUUAAAAUAUUUAAAACAGUGGUCAAUGAAUAUUAUGAUCAUUGUUGUCCACAGGCAUGGUGAUAGAGUAGAAAGAGCACAGGACCUGAAGCCCAAAGUAUGGACUCGAGUCUGCUGCUUACAAGCUGUAUGACCUUUGCUGAGUUACAGGUAUUCUCUGAGUCUCCAGUUCCUCGAUGAAAAAUGGGGAUAAUAAUUCCUGUCCCACCUACUAGAAAGAGUGAUGUGCUGGUAAAGAGAGGUGGUUUUAAGGUACCGUCUUAGCCUAGGAGGCAAGGUGACUGACUGUCUGAGGGUCCAAUUCAAAACCAGCACACAUCUGAUCAAAGCAGAAGUAGACAGAGUUGCCUUAAAGUAACAGAAGCCCCCUCCCAAACCAGAGCAAAGCUGAAGUGACACUUUACUAAUUCAGAGUUGGAGAAUCAGUCAAAGAAAGACACUAAAGAAAGAGACAUGAGGAUAAGCAUCUGUGGUAUCUGUCUCAGCACCAACCCAGGAGGAAGAUCGAGCCUAGCCCAAGGACCUCCAGCUUACCUACCCUAGUCCAAUCCCAGUGCUGGUUCUAUCCUUGGGGUGGAGAGGGAGGGUUCAGUUUUGUUUUUUGUGUUUUUUUCUCUCCACUUACUAACUAGAUUGUUUAUGGCAAGUUAUUUCACCUCUUUGAGCUUUAGCGUUUUCAUCUUGAAAAUCAAAUGUAGAGUUCCCAUUGUGGCUCAGUGGGUUAAGAACCCAACAUAGUAUCUGUGAGGAUUGGGUUAAAUCAAAAUCACUGGCCUUUCUUGGUUGGUUAAGGAUCUGGCCCUGCUGUAAGCUGUGGUGUAGCUUGCAGAUGUGGCUAGGAUCUGCUGUGGCUGUGGCUGUGGUGUAGGCCUGCAGCUGCAGCUCCGAUUUGACCCCUGGCUGGGGAACUUCCAUAUGCUGCAGGUGUGGCCAUAAGAAGAAAAAAAGCAAAGAAAGAAAAAGAAAUGCCCCUCUGAUAGCUUGACUGUCCUGGAACAAAAUGCCCUGAUUAUGCCCAUUUAGCAAUUACCACCCACAGGUAGUUCUAUUUCUCACUCUAAAACCUUAAACUGGAAUUUAAGUGCAUUCAUCAACCUCUCAUGAGGUGUGUUAUUGUGAGUUGCUCUGCCCAAUGCUGCUCACUUCUAAGAUACAACCAGAUUCAGUUUAUGACUUUACGUCUCAAGGUCAAGUGCUAGCUUGGGAUGGAAAGUGGUAUCCCAGGUAAAGGCCCCGAUGAGGCCUGGUGGCAGCCUAACACUUUCUCUUGGGAUCAUGACCUGGAAGCAGGUGCCAUCUUUCAGAAUUCUAUGGGUAGCUCUGAGGGUCACAUGCCAUAACAAAAGGAAAGGGCUAUGGAAACUAUCAAGUGCUUUGUACACAUGAAGCGGGGUGUGGCUGUAAAAGAAGGAACACUGCUGGUAGGAGUCUCAGCUUCAAGGUGUGAAAUGGCCUGGAUCUUCCAGCAUAUGACAGAUGCCACAGGAAGGUGACAGUUUAGGAAGAGCUCCAGUGGAUAGUUCCAUCAUUGCCCCUACCCAGAGGACUUGGCAAAAAAAAAAAAAAAAAAAAAAAAA